GAGGAAUAUUGGGCAAUGCCCGCAAGGGUGACCCAGCAACGCCGCGUGGAGGAUGAAUGUCGUAAGAUUGUAAACUCCUGUUAGAGGGGAAGAAUAGUACCGGUUGGACCGGUAUAUGACUGUACCCUCAGAGAAAGCCCCGGCUAACUACGUGCCAGCAGCCGCGGUAAUACGUAGGGGGCAAGCGUUGUCCGGAUUUACUGGGUGUAAAGGGCGCGCAGGCGGGAUAAAAAGUCAGUGGUGAAAUCCUACAGCUUAACUGUAGAACUGCCUUUGAUACUUUUAUUCUUGAGUUCGGGAGAGAGAGACGGAAUUCCAGGUGUAGUGGUGAAAUACGUAGAUAUCUGGAAGAACACCAGUGGCGAAGGCGGUCUCUUGGUCCGACACUGACGCUGAGGCGCGAAAGCGUGGGGAGCAAACA
rnacentral:rRNA from 1 species